GAUGAACGCUGGCGGCGUGCUUAACACAUGCAAGUCGAACGAAACACCUUAUUUGAUUUUCUUCGGAACUGAAGAUUUGGUGAUUGAGUGGCGGACGGGUGAGUAACGCGUGGGUAACCUGCCCUGUACAGGGGGAUAACAGUCAGAAAUGACUGCUAAUACCGCAUAAGACCACAGCACCGCAUGGUGCAGGGGUAAAAACUCCGGUGGUACAGGAUGGACCCGCGUCUGAUUAGCUGGUUGGUGAGGUAACGGCUCACCAAGGCGACGAUCAGUAGCCGGCUGGAGAGAGUGAACGGCCACAUUGGGAAUGAGACACGGCCCAAACUCCUACGGGAGGCAGCAGUGGGGAAUAUUGCACAAGGGGGGAAACCCUGAUGCAGCGACGCCGCGUGAGUGAAGAAGUAUUUCGGUAUGUAAAGCUCUAUCAGCAGGGAAGAAAAUGACGGUAACUGACUAAGAAGCCCCGGCUAACUACGUG
rnacentral:rRNA from 1 species